CCCGGGCUGGACGGUUGGGAAGGAAGGUCGUGGACAACAAAGUAAUGAACAAAAAUAUGUUUCACGCAUGAGAAGCUGUCCGAGAUGGCAGUGAGGGAGAGGUCAUGGCAAACGGUGUUUAUGGCAUGGAAAAGUGAAGAUUCAAAAAAAAACCCAAGGAGAGGCCAAGAUAGUGUGGAAAAUAUCCACCCCCUCCCAGAGACAGCUCAUUAGGAAGGUUUUGGAGGGAGACUCGCAGGAGGUCAGGGGCUGCUGUGUUAUCUUUGGAGGAAAGGCCAUCCCUUCUCUUCCCCUCCGCAGACGUAUCCAGUGAGACAACUCUCUCCCCAGCAAGCUUUUCUCAGGGAGCAGGCAGUUUCUUGAAAAAAUGAACCAGAUGAGGAUCCACCCACCUCCAGAAACAAAGACUGUGGCUGUCUCCAAGAAUGAAGCACCAGUCUCUUAGUUGGUAUCCCCAGGAGACCAAGUGAGUAGGUAUUACAAAUAUAAUCAGGGAAAAGAAGCUAUUUUAAAAAAUCGGUCAUUGGGCAGGAUGUUCCAAAGGGCAGAUGAAUGUAACUUCCAAGAUGAAGUAACCGGAUGUCUGUCAACUCAGAAAACAAGCUUAAAUGCCUUCUCUUCCAUGAAGACUUCCUUGAUCACUCCUGUCUUUACAGAUGAACGGCUAACUGGAAUACCAACAGAAUAAACAGACUUUAGUCCUGCCAUCUGCCCUGGCCCAUGCAGCCUGGCAUUGUUUAGGGGAUCAUACCUGGCUUCCCACCCAGGCCACAUGACUCUAGAGGGCAAGACUUAGUAAGGUCACGUAGUAGGAGCUCAAUAUAAUUUAUUGGUUAGACAAGAGGAAACCACUUCUUCUCUUGACAAGCCAUGUUGGUAUUUUACCUUCUUCCUUUUAUAGAUAUACCCUCCCAAACACCUGCCCUGAAUGCCUACCAUUUAAUUUAAGCUAGCUUUUCUCUCUCUUUCCUAGUCUAAUUUCUUACAUGUUCUUGUCCUUUAAGAUAUUGAUGAAACUCUACCUAAACUCCACCUUUAGAGUUUAAUUAUUCUCCCAGUAAGUAGUUGAUUCUCUUAGUUGAUUUAA
rnacentral:lncRNA from 1 species